AUACUCUUCAAAGCAUGAUUUUAAAAGAUGCACAAUAUGAAUGAUUUUUGCAAAAGAGAGCGAGUAAAAAGAUCUUCUUGGGACCUCAGAUUAGCCCCAAAGUAGUCUAUCUUUUCUUGAGAGGGACAUUAGGC
rfam:Tupaia chinensis contig91603, whole genome shotgun sequence.